UGGGGAAUAUUGCACAAUGGAGGAAACUCUGAUGCAGCGACGCCGCGUGAGGGAAGAAGGUUUUCGGAUUGUAAACCUCUGUCUUCGGGGACGAUAAUGACGGUACCCGAGGAGGAAGCCACGGCUAACUACGUGCCAGCAGCCGCGGUAAUACGUAGGUGGCAAGCGUUGUCCGGAAUUACUGGGUGUAAAGGGAGUGUAGGCGGGACGGUAAGUUAGGUGUGAAAACUAUGGGCUCAACCCAUAGAUUGCACUUAAAACUGCUGUUCUUGAGUGAAGUAGAGGCAAGCAGAAUUCCUAGUGUAGCGGUGAAAUGCGUAGAUAUUAGGAGGAAUACCAGUGGCGAAGGCGGCUUGCUGGGCUUUUACUGACGCUGAGGCUCGAAAGCGUGGGUAGCAAACAGG
rnacentral:rRNA from 2 species